UACGGAGGGGGCUAGCGUUGUUCGGAAUUACUGGGCGUAAAGCGCACGUAGGCGGAUACUUAAGUCAGGGGUGAAAUCCCGGGGCUCAACCCCGGAACUGCCUUUGAUACUGGGUAUCUCGGAGUCCGGAAGAGGUGAGUGGAAUUCCGAGUGUAGAGGUGAAAUUCGUAGAUAUUGGGAAGAACACCGGUGGCGAAGGCG
rnacentral:rRNA from 1 species